ensembl:lncRNA
CUUUCUACUCUCUGGGUCAAGAGGAGGUCUUCGGGCUGAGGAGGCCUUCGGGCUGAGGAAGCCUUUGGGCUGAGGAGGUCUUUGGGCUGAGGAGGCCUUUGGGCUGAGGAGGCCUUCGGGCUGAGGAGGCCUUUGGGCUGAGGAGGCCUUUGGGCUGCGGCUCUGGGUGACUGUGUGCCGGGAGUGAAGGGGAGCAUGGCAUGCAGGAAGAGUCUUUUGGCUGUCUAGAUGGACUCCCAGUGAACUGGCCUCCGCUCAGAGCCCCCCGCCCCAACUUCCUCCGUUUCCUCUCCCUGUCCCUGUUCUCCCUGUUGUUGAAAGCUCCUUUUCUAAAAAGACCCCCGAUCACGUCACGCCGCUGCACUUUGCCCCCUUUAGGUUCUUCCUCUGAUGCCUGACGUGUUGCCAAAGAGG